rnacentral:rRNA from 4 species
ACUUUAAUUGAAGAGUUUGAUCAUGGCUCAGAUUGAACGCUGGCGGCAGGCCUAACACAUGCAAGUCGAGCGGUAACAGA